GACGAACGCUGGCGGCGUGCCUAAUACAUGCAAGUCGAACGCAGUGGGGACGGUUUAUUAAAACGUGGGUAACCUCCCAUCAGAGGGGAUAACACUUGGAAACAGGUGCUAAACUGCUACUGAUGUAUUGACCCGCUGUGCAUUAGCUAGUUGGUGAGGGAACGGCUCACCAAGGCAACGAGGCAUAGCGGACCUGGGAGGGUGAUCGGCCACACGGGAACUGAGACACGGCCCAGACUCCUACGGGAGGCAGAAGUAGGGAAUCUUCGGCAAUGGACGAAAGUCUGAGAGAGCAACGCCGCGUGAGUGAAGAAGGUUUUCGGAUCGUAAAACACUGUUGUUAGAGAAGCGGUAUCUAACCAGAAAGCCACGGCUAACUACGUGCCAGCAGCCGCGGUAAUUC
rnacentral:rRNA from 1 species